UUGACCUCGGAUCAGGUAGGAGUUACCCGCUGAUA
rnacentral:rRNA from 1 species